CCUACGGGAGGCAGCAGUGGGGAAUAUUGCGCAAUGGGCGAAAGCCUGAUGCAGCGACGCCGCGUGAGGGAUGAAGGUCUUCGGAUCGUAAACCUCUGUCAGAAGGGAAGAAGUUGCUUAGGGUAAAUCACCUGCGCAUUGACGGUACCCUCAAAGGAAGCACCGGCUAACUCCGUGCCAGCAGCCGCGGUAAUACGGAGGGUGCGAGCGUUAAUCGGAAUUACUGGGCGUAAAGCGCACGUAGGCUGUAUGUUAAGUCAAGGGUGAAAUCCCACGGCUCAACCGUGGAACUGCCUUUGAAACUGGCAAGCUGGAGUAUGUGAGAGGGCGGCAGAAUUCCUGGUGUAGGAGUGAAAUCCGUAGAUAUCAGGAGGAACAUCAGUGGCGAAGGCGGCCGCCUGGCAGAAGACUGACGCUGAGGUGCGAAAGCGUGGGUAGCAAACAGGAUUAGAUACCCCUGUAGUC
rnacentral:rRNA from 1 species